CUACGGGUUGCUGCAGUGGGGAAUAUUGCACAAUGGGCGCAAGCCUGAUGCAGCCAUGCCGCGUGUAUGAAGAAGGCCUUCGGGUUGUAAAGUACUGUCAGCGGGGAGGAAGGGAGUAAAGUUAAUACCUUUGCUCAUUGACGUUACCCGCAGAAGAAGCACCGGCUAACUCCGUGCCAGCAGCCGCGGUAAUACGGAGGGUGCAAGCGUUAAUCGUAAUUACUGGGCGUAAAGCGCACGCAGGCGGUUUGUUAAGUCAGAUGUGAAAUCCCCGGGCUCAACCUGGGAACUGCAUCUGAUACUGGCAAGCUUGAGUCUCGUAGAGGGGGGUAGAAUUCCAGGUGUAGCGGUGAAAUGCGUAGAGAUCUGGAGGAAUACCGGUGGCGAAGGCGGCCCCCUGGACGAAGACUGACGCUCAGGUGCGAAAGCGUGGGGAGCAAACAGGAUUAGAUACCCCCGUAGUC
rnacentral:rRNA from 1 species